AGAGUUUGAUCCUGGCUCAGGAUGAACGCUAGCGGCAGGCUUAAUACAUGCAAGUCGAGGGGCAGCGCAGUGUAGCAAUACAUGGGCGGCGACCGGCAAACGGGUGCGGAACACGUACAGAACCUUCCUUCGAGCGGGGCAUAGCCCGGCGAAAGCCGGAUUAAUACCCCAUAGUAAAACGAGACGGCAUCGUUUUGUUU
rnacentral:rRNA from 1 species